rnacentral:rRNA from 1 species
UACGUAGGGGGCAAGCGUUGUCCGGAAUCAUUGGGCGUAAAGCGCGUGUAGGCGGCCAGAAAAGUCCGCUGUGAAAACUCGAGGCUCAACUUCGAGCUGUCGGUGGAAACUUUCUGGCUAGAGUCCGGAAGAGGAGAAUGGAAUUCCUGGUGUAGCGGUGAAAUGCGCAGAUAUCAGGAGGAACACCAAUAGCGAAGGCAGCUCGCUGGGACGGUACUGACGCUAAGGCGCGAAAGCGUGGGGAGCAAACAGG